rnacentral:rRNA from 1 species
GAUGAACGCUGGCGGCGUGCCUAAUACAUGCAAGUCGAGCGAACGGACGAGAAGCUUGCUUUUCUGAUGUUAGCGGCGGACGGGUGAGUAACACGUGGAUAACCUACCUAUAAGACUGGGAUAACUUCGGGAAACCGGAGCUAAUACCGGAUAAUAUUUUGAACCGCAUGGUUCAAAAGUGAAAGACGGUCUUGCUGUCACUUAUAGAUGGAUCCGCGCUGCAUUAGCUAGUUGGUAAGGUAACGGCUUACCAAGGCAACGAUGCAUAGCCGACCUGAGAGGGGGAUCGGCCCACCUGGAACUGAGAAAGGGCCCGGACCCCUACGGGGGGCAGCAGUGGGGAAUUUUCCGCAAUGGGGGAAAGCCUGACGGAGCAACGCCGGGUGAGUGAUGAAGGUCUUCGGAUCGUAAAACUCUGUUAUUAGGAAAGAAAAUAUGUGUAAGUAACUGUGCACAUUUUGACGGUACCUAAUCAAAAAGCCCCGGCUAACUACGU